AGAGUUUGAUCCUGGCUCAGGACGAACGCUGGCGGCGCGCCUAACACAUGCAAGUCGAACGAGCGAGAGAGAGCUUGCUUUCUCAAGCGAGUGGCGAACGGGUGAGUAACGCGUGAGGAACCUGCCUCAAAGAGGGGGACAACAGUUGGAAACGACUGCUAAUACCGCAUAAGCCCACGGCUCGGCAUCGAGCAGAGGGAAAAGGAGCAAUCCGCUUUGAGAUGGCCUCGCGUCCGAUUAGCUAGUUGGUGAGGUAAUGGCCCACCAAGGCGACGAUCGGUAGCCGGACUGAGAGGUUGAACGGCCACAUUGGGACUGAGACACGGCCCAGACUCCUACGGGAGGCAGCAGUGGGGAAUAUUGCACAAUGGGGGAAACCCUGAUGCAGCGACGCCGCGUGGAGGAAGAAGGUCUUCGGAUUGUAAACUCCUGUUGUUGAGGAAGAUAAUGACGGUACUCAACAAGGAAGUGACGGCUAACUACGUGCCAGCAGCCGCGGUAAAACGUAGGUCACAAGCGUUGUCCGGAAUUACUGGGUGUAAAGGGAGCGCAGGCGGGAAGACAAGUUGGAAGUGAAAUCUAUGGGCUCGACCCAUAAACUGCUUUCAAAACUGUUUUUCUUGAGUAGUGCAGAGGUAGGCGGAAUUCCCGGUGUAGCGGUGGAAUGCGUAGAUAUCGGGAGGAACACCAGUGGCGAAGGCGGCCUACUGGGCACCAACUGACGCUGAGGCUCGAAAGUGUGGGUAGCAAACAGGAUUAGAUACCCUGGUAGUCCACACCGUAAACGAUGAUUACUAGGUGUUGGAGGAUUGACCCCUUCAGUGCCGCAGUUAACACAAUAAGUAAUCCACCUGGGGAGUACGACCGCAAGGUUGAAACUCAAAGGAAUUGACGGGGGCCCGCACAAGCAGUGGAGUAUGUGGUUUAAUUCGACGCAACGCGAAGAACCUUACCAAGUCUUGACAUCCUGCGACGCACAUAGAAAUAUGUGUUUCCUUCGGGACGCAGAGACAGGUGGUGCAUGGUUGUCGUCAGCUCGUGUCGUGAGAUGUUGGGUUAAGUCCCGCAACGAGCGCAACCCUUACUGUCAGUUACUACGCAAGAGGACUCUGGCAGGACUGCCGUUGACAAAACGGAGGAAGGUGGGGAUGACGUCAAAUCAUCAUGCCCUUUAUGACUUGGGCUACACACGUACUACAAUGGCGUUAAACAAAGAGAAGCAAGACCGCGAGGUGGAGCAAAACUCAGAAACAACGUCCCAGUUCGGACUGCAGGCUGCAACUCGCCUGCACGAAGUCGGAAUUGCUAGUAAUCGUGAAUCAGCAUGCCACGGUGAAUACGUUCCCGGGCCUUGCAAACACCGCCCGUCA
rnacentral:rRNA from 1 species